UCAUAGAGGGUGAGAAUCCCGUAUUUGGUUAUUCUUUCUAGCUUUGUGAUACACUUUCAAAGAGUCGGAUUGUUUGGGAAUGCAGUCCAAAAUGGGUGGUAAAUUUCAUCUAAAGCUAAAUAUUGGCGAGAGACCGAUAGCGAACAAGUACCGUGAGGGAAAGAUGAAAAGAACUUUGAGAAGAGAGUUAAACAGUACGUGAAAUUGUCAAAAGGGAAGCGUUUGACACCAGUGUUGUUUUUCCGAAAAUCAAUUAAGAAGGGCUUGAUUUUGUGUUGUAUUGACCUUAUCAGCUUUCUUCACUCUUUUUCGAGUCUUUCUUAAUGCACUUUUCGGUUAACAAGUCAACAUCAAUUUCUUUUGUUGUAAAAGGGUAUUUGGAAGGUGGCUUUCUUUUCGGAGAAAGUGUUUAUAGCCUUAUACCUCUACAAUCGGAGAGAUUGAGGUCUGCAGCGUAGAUCCUUCGGGGCUAGAUACACUUGUGCUAAGUUAUAGCUUUUCAUAGACAACUUGUUGACUAUGUUUAGUCAUGUAGCUUACCCGCUUGUGSUAUUUUACCUACGCUUAGGAUGUUGA
rnacentral:rRNA from 1 species